GACGAACGCUGGCGGCGUGCUUAACACAUGCAAGUCGAACGGAAAGGCUCCAGCUUGCUGGAGUACUCGAGUGGCGAACGGGUGAGUAACACGUGGGUAAUCUGCCCUGCACUCUGGGAUAAGCCUGGGAAACUGGGUCUAAUACUGGAUAUGACCUUUCUCCUUAUGGGGUUUGGUGGAAAGUUUUGCGGUUUAGGAUGAGCCCGCGGCCUAUCAGCUUGUUGGUGGGGUGAUGGCCUACCAAGGCGACGACGGGUAGCCGGCCUGAGAGGGUGAUCGGCCACAUUGGGACUGAGGUACGGCCCAGACUGCUACGGGAGGCAGCAGUGGGGAGUAUUGCACAAUGGGCGGAAGCCUGAUGCGACGACGCCGCGUGAGGGAUGACGGCCUUCGGGUUAUAAACCUCUUUCAGCGGGGACGAGGCGUAAGUGACGGUACCUGCAGAAGAAGCACCGGCUAACUAUGUG
rnacentral:rRNA from 1 species